rnacentral:tRNA from 3 species
GGUCCAGUGGUAAAGUGGUUUAAUACGCCUCCCUGUCACGGAGGAGAUCGCGGGUUCAAUCCCCGUCUGGACCGCCA